GAGUUUGAUUCUGGCUCAGGAUGAACGCUGGCGGCGUGCCUAAUACAUGCAAGUUGAACGGACUUGGAGGGUGCUUGCACCUAACAAGUUGGUAGCGAACGGGUGAGUAAUACAUAAGCAACCUACCUAUUAGACUGGGAUAACUAUGGGAAACGAUAGCUAAUACCGGAUAGGUAACUUGAAGGCAUCUUUAAGUUAUUAAAGGUUAGAGACACUAAUAGAUGGGCUUAUGGCGUAUUAGUUAGUUGGUGAGGUAACGGCUCACCAAGACGAUGAUACGUAGCCGGCCUGAGAGGGUGAACGGCCACAUUGGGACUGAGACACGGCCCAGACUCCUACGGGAGGCAGCAGUAGGGAAUUUUCGGCAAUGGGUGCAAGCCUGACCGAGCAACGCCGCGUGAGUGAAGAAGGCCUUCGGGUUGUAAAGCUCUGUUAUAAAUUAAGAAUGGCUAUAAGGGACUAUAGAG
rnacentral:rRNA from 1 species